rnacentral:tRNA from 1 species
GAGGGUAUAGCUCAGUGGUAGAGUGUGUGCUUAGCACACACACAAGGCCCUGGGUUCAAUCCCCGGCACCUCCA